UACGUAGGUGGCGAGCGUUGUCCGGAUUUACUGGGCGUAAAGCGCGCGCAGGCGGUUCGUUAAGUCCGGUGUGAAAGCUCCCGGCUCAACUGGGAGAGGUCAUUGGAUACUGGCGGACUUGAGGGAUGCAGAGGAAGGUGGAAUUCCCGGUGUAGUGGUGAAAUGCGUAGAGAUCGGGAGGAACACCAGUGGCGAAGGCGGCCUUCUGGGCAUUUCCUGACGCUGAGGCGCGAAAGCGUGGGGAGCAAACAGG
rnacentral:rRNA from 1 species